rnacentral:piRNA from 2 species
UUCCCACUUAGUGCCAGAAAGUCUC